rnacentral:lncRNA from 1 species
CUGCAGAAUGGGAUCUCUGUGGGAUCCACUGGCUACUCCCUCCUCUGAAAGAAGGAGGCUCCAGGAUUGCCCUGGGUGCAGGGAAGGCCUGAGGGAGAAAGGAGCUGGGAUGAGCAGCCCUGGGAACAGCUGUCCUGCCACCACAGCAGUGCUCACAUCAAGCCAAAGACACCUUGUUCCUGCAGGGGCUUGGAUAACACCCCAGCCUGGGCACCCC